UACGUAGGGUGCGAGCGUUAAUCGGAAUUACUGGGCGUAAAGCGUGCGCAGGCGGUGAGUUAAGUCUGAUGUGAAAGCCCCGGGCUCAACCUGGGAAUGGCAUUGGAAACUGGCUCGCUGGAGUGUGGCAGAGGGGGGUGGAAUUCCGCGUGUAGCAGUGAAAUGCGUAGAGAUGCGGAGGAACACCGAUGGCGAAGGCGGCUCUCUGGAACGCAACUGACGCUGAGACGCGAAAGCGUGGGGAGCGAACAGG
rnacentral:rRNA from 1 species